GGGGAUAUAGCUCAAAUGGUAGAGUGCAUGCCUAGUAUACAUGAGGUCCUAUGUUCAAUCCCCAGUAACUCCA
rnacentral:tRNA from 1 species